rnacentral:rRNA from 1 species
GUCCUUUCGUUUUUUUGUAAGGUCUGGCCUGCCCAGUGAGUAUUUAACGGCCGCGGUAUAUUGACCGUGCAAAGGUAGCAUAAUCAUUAGUCUUUUAAUAGGAGGCUGGUAUGAAAGGUUUAACGAAACAUAAACUGUCUCAUUUAUAUAAUUAGAAUUUAACUUUUAAGUUAAAAGGCUUAAAUAAUGUUGUUGGACGAGAAGACCCUAUAGAGCUUUACAUUAAUUUUUUUAAUACUAUUUUGUUUUAUAAUUUAUUAUUAAUAUAAUUAUUGUUUUGUUGGGGUGACAAAAAUAUAUAUAUAACUUUUUUAUUUUAUAAUCAUUAAUUUAUGUUUUUUGGAUCCAUUCUUAUUGAUCAUUAGAUUAAGUUACCUUAGGGAUAACAGCGUAAUCUUCUUUCAGAGUUCAAAUUUACAAGAAGGAUUGCGACCUCGAUGUUGGAUUAAGAUAAUAAUUAGGUGCAGUAGCUUAAUUAAUAGGUCUGUUCGACCUUUAAAUUCUUACAUGAUCUGAGUUCAGACCGG